rnacentral:lncRNA from 10 species
AGCAAUUUAAUACUCACCUCGUCAUGGAUGUGGCUUAAAGACGGUGUGGACUGGCUUUAUAUAUGAAACAAAUUGUAAAUAAUCUACAAGUAACUUAAAGUCCUGAGCAAAAGCAGCUACUAAAGCACCACCUGGCUAUGCAACUCAAGAACUAUGUGUUUCCUGGUUAAAGCUUUGCCUAAACCUACUGAGUUUCAAGACCAUGAUUAUUUAUUUUGAUCUUCUUUGGAAAAGGCCACUAAAUAUCAUCAAAUACCUUGGGAAGACAAAAUUUGUGAAGUAAAAUAAAACCUGGAUAAAAUGGACUAAUGGAGUCAACCUGAAAAUGACAAGUAUUCUGCUGUUUAUUAUUAGGUUUGGAUUCUAAUUUCACCAUUCUAGGAACUCCUCACCUCCUCAGACUUGUCUACAUGGUUUCUUAAUUUUAACACAAAGUGAUGUAUUUUCGGCCUGUGAUAAUCUUUUAUACUUAAUGCUAGUCUACAUGACUUAAUCUCAGAUCUGUGAAAUGAGGAUAAAAAAACUACCCAAUACAAUCCAAUACAAUUUUGUUAAAAUGAAAUGAUUUACUCUAGGCUCUAUAUAUAAAGUGCUUAGACAAGUGGCUAGCACUUAAGGGUAUACAAACACACACAUAUGAAUGUAUGUAUAACUGUGUAUAUUUGUAUAUAAUAACAAAUAUGUAUAGACAUGUAUAUAUAUUUGUAUAUAUGUAUAUAUAUUUGUAUAUUUGUAUGUAAUAACAAAUGUGUAUGUGUAUAUAUAUUAUCUCCCUAAAUUGGUUGCAAAUUUCUCAAGGGCAACAAAUAACAUUUUCUACUUUGUUUGUUUGUUUUUCUCAUAUAAUUAUUAUCCUUCUAAGAACACAGAAAGGACCCAAAAGCUUGCAUAAAGACUAAGCAGGAACAUAUUAAAGUGAGUCUCACUGUCUCAAUCAUUGUGCUGGGGAUUUUAUGGUUAUUUCAUCUAAUUCUUUUAACAAUUAUUGAAGCAAUUAUUUUUAGGCACAUUUUAAAGAUAAGAAAAUUGGCCUUAAGUAAUUUCUCUCAAGCUUGCAAACCUAGGACAUAGCAUAGCCUAGUUUGCAGCAUAUUUUAUUCUUAUUCCAUAUUCAUUGUUCUUUUCACACAUCAUCAUUGCCAAAUCUGCCUAAUUGAAUUAAUGAAUAUGUGAAGAAUCUAUGUCAAAAGAUUCACACUUCCCUAUGCUUUUAUAACAAAGGCUUUUUGUUUUUAAAUUUAGGACUUUUUAGAAAAUGAGAGCCAACACUGUAGAUAAUAAGAAUGAUAUUUGGAUCAUACCAUCUACAGUGAAGAGAAAUGUUCAAAUUAUGGUUUAUUAUUCCUUGUAUUCAGAAGCCUCAAAAAAAAGAAACAUAAUAAAAUAGAUCCUUAAGUUUGGUUUAAGAAGUAACAUUCUUUGAAAUAGUUGUGUUUUGUAUAAGAUACUAAAUUUAAAUAAUUCUUGGCUAAUUUAAUAUUUGACUUUUUGUUUAAUCCAUUCAGUGUUUACCAGAUAAUUAUUGUCCAAUUUUUUUCUAUUAAUGUACUUGAUAAUAAGAGUAAGAAUGAAAGAAUCAUUAGUACGAGACUACUAGAUUUCCAGAGUUUUAUGUCUUAAAAUUCCCUAAAACCUGUGAAUGUUACUUUUGAUUUUAGAAAAUUAUAUUACAAAUUGUAUUCUAUUAGAGCCAAAAGGUAGUCUGAAAGGAAUGGUCAUUAUGCUCUUAUAUUCAAAAAUUAUAAUUGAUAUGAUAAACUGCAAAUUUAAACUUUAGAAAUAGAGUAAAAAUUAUGUAUAUAUAUAAUUUAUACUAGACAAAUUAAAAAAUUUACAUUAAAACUCUUACAAACAUCAGACACACAGACAGUCAUAUUUGCAUCAAUUUAAUGUAAAUACAAGUGAACAAACAGAAAACAUUCAGGAUGGCAUUCAUAAAACAUCUUCUGAGUACCCAGAAAGCUCUAGGUAAAUUGGAAAACCUGGCAAAAUUUUUCACAUAAUUUAAUUGAUAUUCGGUAAAUUAGAAAUAAAUGAGAUUUUGUUUAGUUUCUUUAAUAAUGCUUUAUAAAUCUAGUAUACCACCUUAUCUCAGGCAUCAAAAACUAUAUUAUUAUUUCUAUUUGAAUAUGGAUACAUGCAUGUAACACUUUUCUGUUAUGACAUUCACUAAUCCUUCAUAUAAUUACAGAAGUAAAAAACUGACACGUGAAGAUUUGUUGUAAUCGAUUUUACUACACUUUAUACUGGUAAUAAACAUCUCAACUGUAUAAUUCCUACUUUUUUCAAUGUCAGAAAAAUGACACACACACACAAACCCGUGAUUCAUUUUGAAUUAUGCUUAUUGAAGUUUUAAAAAUAAAAUAUUGAUUGGGAAGAACUUGAAAAUAGAGCUUGACCUCCAAAUAUAUCCAUAUCCUAAUCCCUGGAACCUGUGAAUGCUACCUUAUAUGGCAAAAAGGACUUUGAUUAAGUUAAAGAUCUUGAUGUGGAGGGAUUAUCUGGAUUAUCCAUGUGGGUCAUAAACAUCAUAACAAGUGUGUCCUUAUAAGAGGGAGGAAUGGAAGAGAAGAUGAGAAAGCAAUGCAAUGUCAGACAUAGAGAUGAGAGUGAUGUGGCAGGCAAGAAGCCACGGAUUUCCAGUACCUGCCAGAAGCCAGAAACAGCAAGCAAUUUUCUCCUUAGAGACUCCAGAAGGGCUAAGCCCUGCUGACAUCUUGACUUUACCCCCAAAAAAGUGACUUCUAAUUUCUGGACUUCAGAAGUGUGAGAAAAUAAAUGUGUUUCAAGACACCA